rnacentral:miRNA from 1 species
AUACAAAUCACCAGGGAAUCUUAUUCAAUUGCAGCUUCUAAUACAUUGGGUCUGGGAUGGGGCCAAGAUUCUGCUGUUCUAACAAGCUCCUGUGUGAUGUGGAU